rnacentral:rRNA from 1 species
CGCGUAGGCGGCCAGACAGGUCAGGUGUGAAAUCCCUUGGCUCAACCAAGGAAUUGCGCUUGAAACCGUUUGGCUAGAGUGCAGGAGAGGAGGGCGGAAUUCCUGGUGUAGCGGUGAAAUGCGUAGAUAUCAGGAAGAACACCGGUGGCGAAGGCGGCUCUCUGGACUGUAACUGACGCUGAGGCGCGAAAGCGUGGGGAGCGAACG